rnacentral:lncRNA from 1 species
AUUAUUUAAUUAUUUAUUUUCGUCUUUUUAGGGCCGCACUUGUGGCAUAUGGAAGUUCCCAGCCUAGGGGUCCAAUCGGAGCUAAAGCUGCCAGCCUACGCCACAGCCACAGCAACCCAAUGAACCAGAUCCUUAACCCACUGAGUGAGGUCAGAGAUCGAACCCACAACCUAGUCAGAUUUGUUUCUGCUGGCCACAGUGGGAACUCCCUGCUUUAUUUUUUAAUAUACCCUCUGUCUGUUUUCAAAAUGGGUACCAUGUAUAUGAUGUAACUGUUUUGAAAAACAAAUCAAUCUACAAAAUUGUAUGCAAUUAUAUGAAAAAAAGUUAGGAUUUAAUUCUUGACAAAUGAUAGCAAUUGUUGGAUUGUGGGAUGGUGGGUGAUUUGGUUUUCACAUUUCUGGCUUCCAUUUUUUUAAUGCGGUUGUAUUGCUUUUACACUGACAAAGAUAAAAUGAUAAGGAGACAUAAACAAAUAACUAAGUAAUCAUUAUAUUUAUUUUAGCACCACUUUUCAUGACUCAAUAAAUUCUGGCCUAGUUUAAGUAGGGGGAAAAAAAGGACAGGCGUUUUCUCCCUGCAGACUGCUACAGCCAUCUCCCUUAUAAUUCUGAGGUUGAACUAAAAAUGGUUAAGUUUAAUUAUGAAAAAGUUCAUCAGCCUUUCAAACGGUGGUGAGAACAGGUAAAGCAUGUUCCUCUAAUGGUUGCCUAACUAAACAGCAAGAUAUGACAACAGCAUUUUAACCUAAGACACCGAAUUCAAUGGGCUUGUCUCUCUCUGUAUUUUCCCUCUCCCCACCCCGCUUUCUGCCUCCCUCCUCUCUCACAAGUCUCCCUGCUCUUCCAGGUCUAUAUUUUUCUUUACCUUCUCUGCGGCCAGGCCCUGGUGGCUGGUCCUCCACCCCCAAGGCCACCUUCUUCGUAGAUCCCAGCGGAUGCUCCAGUGUCCCCCCUCUUUUCACAGCCAUGUGCUUGCAAGACCGACGCCAGCCCAGAUCCACGGGGUCCUUUAACCUUCUCAGCCACCCCUGGCUUUUGCCACUGUGUGGUUCAGACAUGGGCCUGAGACAAUUCUGGCCAACGAGGGGUAGCUGCCGGGAGUUUCCUCACAUCCAAGACACGUUUGCUUUUUGGCCUUGGAUGCAGUUGUGUUGGGGUGUGCCACCUGGAUCCUCUACAGCCUGACAAUAAUAAAGACCACACCAAGGAUAUCAGAGCUAGGGAGUGACAAGCGUGGAGGCUUCACACCUUCCUUGCCUGGCUGACUUGCAUCUACCCAGGACUUCCUGUCACAGGAGAGACUUUGUUGGUUAAGAGAGGUUUUCAGUCUCCUGCGGGCAUCCUCUCCCUCUGAUUUUCUCAUCAAGAAUCACCCCCUGUGUUUCUGUGUCUCUCUCACUACCUCCCGUUUCCUCCUUUUCCCUCCCCUCUCCUCCCUUCCCCAGCUGCUCCCGUCUCUCUUCAACAAAACAGGGGAACCUGUAACACUGUCUGACCAGCUCACGCCUACCCCUUUCUCUCACUUUCUCAACCACAAAGUCCUUCCCCAGCAUCGGCUAAAAUUGUACUUCACAGCUCACAGGUCUGGGUGGAUUUCAUUAACAAAGGAAUCCCUGCCUGGGGCUGAAAUGGAGGUGAUGUUUUUAGGAGUAGGGGGGAGGGGAGCCCUAUGGGUCCAGGCAAAAGAUUCUCACGCUCUGCGGAAAGAGGAAGGAAACAGAAACACCAAGAGAAACAGGGGCAGAGCCUCUGACAGUGUGCGCCACCCAAAGAGGUGUGCCUUUUGUGCUCUGAAAAGCUUGCAGCCCUGCCCAAGGCGGUCUGCUGCUGAAUUUCUUCAAGCGGACCCUCUCUGUGAAGUCUGGGGAGUUUGCAGACAGAAUCUUCCAUUGCACCCCGUUUGGGCUUUAGGUAUUUUGAAGUAGGCAUCUCAUAUUUGUGGUUAAAGCAGCAGGUUAAGGAUCCUGUGUUGUCACUGCCCUGCUGUGGCGCAGGUUCCAUCUCUGGCCCCGGAGCUUCCAUAUGCAGCAGGCGAGGCCAAAAAACAAAACACAAUAAGGGAUCCCACGUGAAAUCCAUGUCCUAAUGAGGUCAACGCAAAACAUUUUUUAAUUGGCUGCAAUCAAAAUUUUUGUUAUAGUUAAUGAAUUAAGUAUUGUGCCCACUGUUCUUUGGUGGGAAAGUGAGUAAAUGAAAAUAUUUUAUUUCUCGAAAAACAUUGGAUCCCUCAGAAUCAGUACCUCCGCUCUGUGCCUCUUGCCUCACGCCCACACAUCCCCAUUAAAGAAGUCUAGUUUUUAGGGCCCCAGGAAGAACAUUAAAAGGAAGCAUAUAUCUGUCUCAUAAAUAUGAUUAAACAAGCAUAUGUGGAACACAGUUGUUUCACUUUUAAAAAUCAAUUAUAAUUGCUUUUUGUAAUAAAAUGAAUUCUAUCUUUCACAAAAGAUGAUGGAGCAGGCAUUGAUUUUUUUUUUUUUAUUCCACUUUCUUUUGGAAAUAGUCAGCCAGGCCUCUGAUGCAAGGUGCCAGGCCCUACCCUCCUCCUACCAGGGGCAAGUGCAUGAUACACAUUCAGCCAGUCAGAAGCUCCCUUCAUGAUACUGCACAGAGGGAGGAAAAGACCAGAAGUGACCUGGAGCUUAUUGAUUGCAACCCCUGGCCAAGUCCAAGGCUGCCCUCGAGAGCUUUAGGAUCCUCCUGGUUCUUCUGCCUUCCCUCUAAUCCCGUAAGCUAGCUUAUUUCCUCCUACCCAAUUUCCCUUCUGAUUACAUCAGUCAAUGACUGCUGCUACGACUUAGACCAAAAAAUUCCUAAUCAAUAUUAGGUGAACUUUUGAAAUUGCGCUUUUCAGAGAAAAAUGGUAACUUUUUUUUUUUUCUGAUUUCCAAAGGAGCAUCUUCUUGGUAUACCCUUCCCUACUUAGAAAAUACAGAAAACAUUUUAAAAGAAUUGCCCAGGGAGUUCCCGUCAUGGCUCAGUGGUUAACGAAUCUGACUAGGAACCAUGAGGUUGCGGGUUCGAUCCCUGCCCUUGCUCAGUGGGUUAAGGAUCCGGCAUUGCCGUGACCUGUGGUGUAGGUCACAGACGCGGCUCAGAUCCUGCGUUGCUGUGGCUGUGGUGUAGGCCGGUGGCUACAGCUCCGAUUGGACCCCUAGCCUGGAAACCUCCCAUAUGCCGCGGGAGUGGCCCAAGAAAUGGCAAAAAGACAAAAAGACAAAAAAAAAAAAAAGAAUUGCCCAGAAAUACUGAUAUACUUCUGAUACUAUUGGUAUUUUAUAUACUUACUUCAUUAAUAAAUAUUUUUGUAUGAUUGAUCUCAUUCUGCAGAGAAAAAAGCUUCAAUCUACUAUAGUUUCCAUUUGCCAGUGGCCCAAAACAGCACAGAGAAACAACCCUCCGUCAGAACAGAGGCAAGUCCAUCUCCAUCUCCAGACUGCGGUUAUCAGUCAAGAGUCUAACCUCGUCACCCCUUAUCUCUAACCCUUAAGUGCUUUCCUUUUCCAUCACAUAUCAGUCUCUGUUUCCUUUCUUAUAAAGCAAACAUGCUUUCAUGCUCCCUUACAUUCCAAAGUCACUCCUACCCUCAAACAAUUUCAAAAUGCCAUCCCCGCCCUACAGAUUCCACCCUUCCUUCCAUCCAUCACCACAUCAAAUUAUUUUGCAGUUAAGCCAUUUCAACUCCUUAUAAAAUCUGUCCUCAUUUAACACUAGGCAUGGUAAUGAUAUCCAGUAAUUUCCUCUUUUACCAUUUGCUUUUUCUUUUUUAACCUUCUCAAAACUUUGCUUCUGUGAUUUAUCUCUUUACCAUGGAACUUAAUGUCCAGAAACAGGGAAGAGGUAUUAGCAGAUUCAUCAGAUAUCCACUGAGGUUUUAUUAUGCAGAAUCAACUGAUUUAACAAAUAUUUAUUGCGCACAUCUCCCAUUAAGGCACCUGUGGUCAUGGUUUCCCCCCUAAGAGUAAACUGGAAGACAAAGACACACGGGGCAAGAGGGGUAAGAACACAUGUCAGAAUAGACCACGUGCUACAAUUCCAAAAAGGACAGUAAGAUACAGAUUCAUGAAAAAAGGCUCUUCCAGUUCUAUUUUUUUCUUUUCUUUCUUUUUUCUUUCUGUAGUAAUAGCAUUAAGGUGCAACUAGUAGGAACAAAAACUAGUUCCAUUUAUGAAGAGUAGAUGUCAUAUCUGAAUCAUUUAUUUGAAUUUCAGAACUCUGAAAAAAUAAGUUUUAAAGUGUAUACUUGGAGUUCCCAUCAUGGCACAGUCGUUAACAAAUCCGACUAGGAACCAUGAGGUUGCGGGUUCAAUCCCUGGCCUCGGUCAGUGGGUUAACGUUCGGCAUUUCAGUGAGCUGGGGUAUAGGUCACAGAUGCAGCUCGGAUCCCGCAUUGUGGUGGCUCUGGCCUAGGCCAGUGGCUACAGCUCCAAUUAGACCCCCUAGCCUGGGAACCUCCAUAUGCCACAGGAGUGGCCCUAGAAAAG